UUCUAAGCGCAAGGGAUUGUAGUGGCAUCCUUUUUUUGCUUUAAUAAAUGGCAAAAAAAGAUAUAACGAAAAGCCCGACCCUUU
rnacentral:sRNA from 2 species